GACAGUAUGGUGUAGUGGUUUGAAUGUUGGACUAUGACUCUGGAGCCUAGGGUUCAAAUCCCUGCUCAGCCA